GAAAGCAAAAGAUAGGACCCCAGGCAUAGCAAAUAUGUUGCUGUGACCCUCAUGUGUUCAACCUUUACUGUCUGCCCACCUUCGCUUGCUUGGACAGCUUCGUGGCAAGAGGUUCUCUUCACCACCAGCUAUGAUUCCUUCCACUUUCCCUCCAAUCAACAUCCUCUUCUGAUCUCACAGGUAUUUCUCAGGCCUCUUGAAAUAUUGAAAAUAGCAUGAGAAUGAACUUUAUUUCACCUGCAAGCCCUUAGAUUGCAAGGCUGGGAACAGAUCUGAUCUAAUCUGAUUCAUCGGAUGAGGAACAUGAAACUCAAAGACAAAUGAACCUCCCAAGCUACAAACUCCA
rnacentral:lncRNA from 1 species